GUAGGUGGCAAGCGUUGUCCGGGAAUUAUUGGGGCGUAAAGCGCGCGCAGGCGGUUCUUUAAGUCUGAUGUGAAAGCCCACGGGCUCAACCGUGGAGGGUCAUUGGAAACUGGAGAACUUGAGUACAGAAGAGGAAAGCGGAAUUCCACGUGUAGCGGUGAAAUGCGUAGAGAUGUGGAGGAACACCAGUGGCGAAGGCGGCUUUCUGGUCUGUAACUGACGCUGAGGCGCGAAAGCGUGGGGAGCAAACAGGAUUAGAUACCCUGGUAGUCCACGCCGUAAACGAUGAGUGCUAAGUGUUAGGGGGGUUUCCGCCCCUUAGUGCUGCAGCUAACGCAUUAAGCACUCCGCCUGGGGAGUACGGCCGCAAGGCUG
rnacentral:rRNA from 1 species